rnacentral:misc_RNA from 1 species
UUGCGACACGUUGCGAAAGUUAACAAACUCAAAUAGGCACAAAACUCACUGAAAUUAUACGAUCGACGCACUCGAUGCGAAAAACAUUUUGUUGCACGAUUUUCACCAAUUCUAUAAUUAUUUUUCGAACAUAAUUGGCAAAGAGUCUUAAAAUAAUCAAUUAUCGACACCAAUAAAGGGGUACACGUGCAGUAUUGGUUCGUUAAGGAGAGACGCGGCAGGGCGUGUAAUAUUAUCACUGAAAUCAAUCGAUUACCUAUCAACACGAACCGUGAAGACUACACCAUGUUAGAUGAGAAGGUUAAGAAAGAAGCACGUACAAACACAUUCUCGUGUCAUUAUAAAGCAUGCAACAG